rnacentral:rRNA from 1 species
GACGAACGCUGGCGGCGUGCCUAAUACAUGCAAGUAGAACGCUGAAGGAGGAGCUUGCUUCUCUGGAUGAGUUGCGAACGGGUGAGUAACGCGUAGGUAACCUGCCUGGUAGCGGGGGAUAACUAUUGGAAACGAUAGCUAAUACCGCAUAAGAGUAGAUGUUGCAUGACAUUUGCUUAAAAGGUGCACUUGCAUCACUACCAGAUGGACCUGCGUUGUAUUAGCUAGUUGGUGAGGUAACGGCUCACCAAGGCGACGAUACAUAGCCGACCUGAGAGGGUGAUCGGCCACACUGGGACUGAGACACGGCCCAGACUCCUACGGGAGGCAGCAGUAGGGAAUCUUCGGCAAUGGACGGAAGUCUGACCGAGCAACGCCGCGUGAGUGAAGAAGGUUUUCGGAUCGUAAAGCUCUGUUGUAAGAGAAGAACGAGUGUGAGAGUGGAAAGUUCACACUGG